GACGAACGCUGGCGGCGUGCCUAACACAUGCAAGUCGAGCGAGGCUAUUCUUUCGGGUAUAACCUAGCGGCGGACGGGUGAGUAACACGUGGGUAACCUGCCUUAUAGAGGGGGAUAGCCUUCCGAAAGGAAGAUUAAUACCGCAUAACAUCAAGCUUUCGCAUGCAAGUUUGAUCAAAGGAGUAAUCCGCUAUAAGAUGGACCCGCGGCGCAUUAGCUAGUUGGAGAGGUAACGGCCCACCAAUGCGACGAUGCGUAGCCGACCUGAGAGGGUAAUCAGCCACAUUGGGACUGAGACACGGCCCACACUCCUACGGGAGGCAGCAGUGUGGAAUAUUGCAAAAUGGGGGAAACCCUGAUGCAGCAACGCCGCGUGAGUGAUGAAGGCCUUCGGGUUGUAAAGCUCUGUCUUUGGGGACGAUAAUGACGGUACCCAAGGAGGAAGCCACGGCUAACUACGUGCCAGCCGCCGCAGUAAUAC
rnacentral:rRNA from 1 species